rnacentral:rRNA from 1 species
GACGAACGCUGGCGGCGUGCUUAACACAUGCAAGUCGAACGGAAAGGCCCUGCUUUUGUGGGGUGCUCGAGUGGCGAACGGGUGAGUAACACGUGAGUAACCUGCCCUUGACUUUGGGAUAACUUCAGGAAACUGGGGCUAAUACCGGAUAGGAGCUCCUGCUGCAUGGUGGGGGUUGGAAAGUUUCGGCGGUUGGGGAUGGACUCGCGGCUUAUCAGCUUGCUGGUGGGGGAGUGGUUUACCAAGGCAUUGACGGGUAGCCGGCCUGAGAGGGUGACCGGCGACAUUGGGACUGAGAGACGGCCCAGACUCCUACGGGAGGCAGCAGUGGGGAAUAUUGCGCAAUGGGCGGAAGCCUGAUGCAGCAGCGCCGCGUGCGGGAUGACGGCCUUCGGGUUGUAAACCGCUGUCGCCUGUGACGAAGCGUGAGUGACGGUAAUGGGUAAAGAAGCACCGGCUAACUACGUG